ensembl:lncRNA
GAUACGUCUGAUGUCAGGCGAGGUUUUUUGUGGUGCUGAUUUUCAUAUCAUGUACGUGCCGCUGACCUGCUUUCACGCCUGUAAACUUGUGAGCAUUACUUCAAAGCAGCUCUCACAUUUUCACCCACUUUAAGAGCGACAGUUUUGCUCUGAGGGGGGUUUAUUAUUCAAGACCCACUCUGUGCCCAACUUAGGCAUGGAUCGACUGUGCAGUAUUAUCCUUGUUCUUUUACACACAGCAGGAGCUUUCAGUAUUGCCCUUGAAGAGAAAGAAACGAACGUCCAUCAGGAACCAAGGCACAUUAAAGUUUGUAAAGGAGCCUCAGUCACAAUGAAGUGCACUUUUCAGCCGAAUGAAAACUACAAAGUGAGCUGGCACUACAGCCAGACAGCUAUUUCAGACUGUAAAUCAGCUUCCAAGAUACCUGAAGAACAGCGUUUUUUAAAAAAGAAAAAAGACGAUUGGUCAACACUCAACAUUACUUUUAUCAAAGCCAAUGAGAGUGGAUGGUACUUCUGCCUGGUCACACAAGACAUCCCAACUCUCAUACAAAACUGCAGUAAUGGAACACAAGUUAUAGUCGAGGACCCCAGCAUCAACACCAGCACCAGAACCAGCACCAGCACCACAGAAUCUCAGACGCUAAAUCAGCCCACAGGAGAUUUACCUACAACUUGCAUGAACAAUAGUAAAUCUAAUGGUAAAUAUUCUGCUUUUAACUCUCAGUUAUCCUAAAAUACUCUGUAUUCAACCCUUCGCAUUUGAAAUUUUUAUAAACAUUUUUGUACAUACAUGUACAUUUUGGUCACAUCUUUGACCUCCGUAAGUACAGUAACCACAAAGUAAUGAAUUAGUACUUUACUACAUCUACAUGGAUUAAAUUGCAAGUGGUCAGUUUGUGGUUUUGUCUCAAAUAUUAGUAAACUACUUCUCAAAUGAAAGUCUUUAGGAAAUAGUGUAAUGUACUAAAAUUCAAGAUGGCAUAUUUUAUAGUGGGCUCCUGAAGCCUGAGUCCAUUGGUUAAAAUGAUUCUGUUUUUAGUUGUUGUCGUUGUUGUUUUUAAAUGUAAUACAUUUUAUUAUUACAAGUUAUGAUCCGUGUUAUCCAGCAUCAUUUGAGAAUGACCGAAAGAGCAUCAUAUGCUUCAGUGGAAGCAAGAGCACCUGACCAACCAUCUGUUCAAAGGAGGCAAUGUCACAAAUUUGCUUGUUUGAUUAGAAAUACGAAAUAGUACUGAAUCGGAAAUAUUUCAUUUUUAUCAAAUGUAAUAAAAUGUUUUACAUUUUUUAAAUCCUUUUAUUA